UACGGGGGGGGCAAGCGUUGUUCGGAAUUACUGGGCGUAAAGGGCUCGUAGGCGGCCAACUAAGUCAGACGUGAAAUCCCUCGGCUUAACCGGGGAACUGCGUCUGAUACUGGAUGGCUUGAGUUUGGGAGAGGGAUGCGGAAUUCCAGGUGUAGCGGUGAAAUGCGUAGAUAUCAGGAGGAACACCGGUGGCGAAGGCGGGUCUCUGGGCCGAUACUGACGCUGAGGAGCGAAAGCGUGGGGAGCGAACAGG
rnacentral:rRNA from 1 species